GGGAUUAUAGACAACUAGGCUUUCUAUCUUUCUGACCUUAUAUCUGAUUACCAUACUGUUUCAUAUGUCUUUGAUCUUUCAAAUUAGAACCGCCACGUUCCAGUAUGCUUCCACGGCCUAUAUUUGCCAGCAGGUCAAAGCUAGAAUCAAUUUAUUUUUUUAAUUAUGGGGGAAAGGAUUCAUGGGUGUUAAUUGAAUUUUUUAUUGAUAUCAUUGUAAAUUCACACGCAGUCGUAAGAAAAAAUACAGAGAGAUUCUGUGGACCUUGCAUGCAGCUUCCUCCAGCAGGGACAUGUUUAAAAGCUUAGUGCAAUAUCACGAUUAGGAUAUUGACAUGAUAUAAUUCCCAGUCAAUUCUGAUUGCCCCAGUUUACUUGUACUGGUGUGUGUGUUUAGUUCUAUCAUCUUAUCACAUGUGUAGGUUUGUGUAUUUAUCACCCAUCGAGAUACUGGCCAAGCCCAUUCAUCCUGAGGACCCUCCACGUUGCC
rnacentral:lncRNA from 1 species